rnacentral:rRNA from 1 species
UCAAAACUCCGAAGUUAAGCGUGCGUGGGCGAGAGUAGUACUAGGAUGCGUGACCUCCUGGGAAGUCCUCGUGUUGCAUUCC